GAGGGUAUAACUCAGUGGCAGGGAGUGUGCCUAGCAUGCACGAGGUCCUGGGUUCAGUCCCCAGUACCUCUA
rfam:Camelus ferus unplaced genomic scaffold scaffold701, whole genome shotgun sequence.